UGCACACUCCUUAGAUCCACUUCCAGGAUAAGUUAUCUCCCCUGACCGUCCUUCUUGGAAGGGAAGUAUUGUCCACCAACCUUUGGGUUGAACCAUUGGAAGUGCUUGAGUCAUUGGUGUGCUACAUAAAUAUGCCUCGUUAGGCUGGUUUAUUAGUGCUCAAUAGCCAGGCUUGCCUCUUUAGCUGGGUCAUAUUUGUGCUAAACCAGUCUGCGGGAUAAA